rnacentral:rRNA from 1 species
CCUACGUGCGGCAGCAGUGGGGAAUAUUGGACAAUGGGCGAAAGCCUGAUCCAGCCAUGCCGCGUGUGUGAAGAAGGCCUUCGGGUUGUAAAGCACUUUCAGUGGGGAAGAAAGCCUUGGGGCUAAUACCCUCGAGGAAGGACAUCACCCACAGAAGAAGCACCGGCUAACUCCGUGUCAGCAGCCGCGGUAAUACGGAGGGUGCGAGCGUUAAUCGGAAUUACUGGGCGUAAAGCGCGCGUAGGCGGUCUGAUAAGCCGGUUGUGAAAGCCCCGGGCUCAACCUGGGAACGGCAUCCGGAACUGUCAGGCUAGAGUGCAGGAGAGGAAGGUAGAAUUCCCGGUGUAGCGGUGAAAUGCGUAGAGAUCGGGAGGAAUACCAGUGGCGAAGGCGGCCUUCUGGACUGACACUGACGCUGAGGUGCGAAAGCGUGGGUAGCAAACAGGAUUAGAUACCCGGGUAGUC